rnacentral:lncRNA from 1 species
ACUUAGUGCACAGAGUUGUAAUCACCGAAUGGAGAAAACCAAGUAAAUCUCACAACAGAGAGUUUAAACGCAUGUUAAUUGUUAUUAUUGGUGUUUACGACUCUUUGACAUGAAAACUGCAUGUCUUUUUAGUUUUUACCAGAGAGCCCAAAAACAGACACUGAGGACUCACCAGAUCAAAUCAAGACGGGUCAAGCCAAUUAAAAACAAAACGAAACAAAAACACUGCUUGAGCAUGAGCUGUGUGCCAGGCACAGCUGGAAAUUCCUGCCCCAGAGAGCUUGUUUGCCAGGAGUAUACAGGACAGAAACCCAGAAAAUACAAGGAAGUUAUGGCUGGCAUACGAUGGGUGCCCAACUACUGGAAGACAGUGAUUUUCAGAAACCUGUUCCUCAGGGACACUUCAAGUAGGAGGCCCUGA